UUGCACUGUAUUUGAACCUUGUUGGUCUCGUCUGUGACCUGUUGGGCCAUGCUACAGUGCUAUAGCAUAUCAGCCUUGUUCAUAACUGGAGCCUCCUGGCCACGCCCACAGUUUGCUCUUUUAAAUGCAAGUCACAGCU